rnacentral:rRNA from 1 species
UACGGGGGGGGCAAGCGUUGUUCGGAAUUACUGGGCGUAAAGGGCUCGUAGGCGGCCAACUAAGUCAGACGUGAAAUCCCUCAGCUUAACUGGGGAACUGCGUGUGAUACUGGAUGGCUUGGAUUUGGGAGAGGGAUGCGGAAUUCCAGGUGUAGCGGUGAAAUGCGUAGAUAUCUGGAGGAACACCGGUGGCGAAGGCGGCAUCCUGGACCGAUAUUGACGCUGAGGAGCGAAAGCCAGGGGAGCAAACGGG